GGAGAGAUGGCUGAGCGGUUGAAAGCACCGGUCUUGAAAACCGGCAAUGGGGCAACCCAUUCCAGAGUUCGAAUCUCUGUCUCUCCGCCA
rnacentral:tRNA from 1 species